UAAUUACGGAACGAAUCGUUUUGUUUGAAUUCUAUCCUCGAGCGAGAGCGAACCAAGGAGCCAUCUCUCCGCCGCCGGCGACGGGCAUCGGUGGCCCUCUUCCUCCCCUAGGCCCCUGCUGCUCUUCUUCCCAACUGUCAUCAGAUUCUUCCCUGACACUAGCGCCAUCUUCUUGGCAGCCUUCUGUGAUCAAGAUGGAUCUAGUUCCUCGAUCCAAGGCAAAUUGGGACACAUUUAGCAACAGGGCCUUUUGUGAGAUCUGUGCCGAGGAAUGUGAGGCUGGGAAUAGACCUACGGGUUGUUUGUCAACUACUGGCUACAAAAAUCUACAGCUGAAGUUCUUUCAGAGGACAGGGAAAAAGCAUGACCAAAAACAAUUAAAGAACCACUGGGAAACACUAAAGAAGGAAUACAACUUGUGGAUCGAACUGAAGGAAAAAUCAACUGGAUUAGGCUGGGAUCCAAUUAAAGGAACAUUUACUGCUGAUGAUGCUUGGUGGGCGGACCACAUAGUGAAGCACCCUAAUCAUACGCAUUUUCGUAAUGGACCACCGGCUAAUCUACAAGAAAUGGACGUCGUAUGAUAAAGCUUUUGUCACUGGUAACAGUUCAGCUAUACCCGGAUCUUACUGAAUUUGCCAAGUUAUCGGAUGAAAAGGCAAACGAAGAUUAUUCUUGCAUGUAUGGCUCUUCACAAUUUUAUUCGAGACAGUGUUUUGCGUGAUGAACUUUUUGGGAGAUGUGAUCUCGAUGAAGAGUUCGAUCCAAACACUGAACAAGCUAGUUCAUCUCAAGAAAAUGGUAUCAAUGGAUUAGCGGUGGAUGAUGAAGACAUGAAUGCUUUCCGUGAUAGGAUUGCUAAUUCACUAACGGCAACAAGGGCAUAGAUUGAUAGGUUAAUUUAUAUAUAUGUGCUUGUAUUAUUUUACUUCCUCAUUUGUUGUCGUGGCAUAUAUGUGAUCUUAUUAU